AUCAUUAUAGGUAACAAAAACAAAUCUCAAAGGCUACGCUUUUGGUGGCUGCGUGCGUUGAAAGCGAUUACGAAAGCUAUAAUGCGUCAGAGCCGCCAUGCAUUGACAGUAAUCUCAAAGGCUAUGUUUUUCUGGCGCCAACAGCUUUAGCAGAAACUAAAAACUCGAAAAUCAGAUACCGAAUAUUCCCAGAAUAAGUAAAUAUUUCACUGUGUAUUAAUAGAAUAUUUUAAAAACCUAUUUAUGUUUGCGUAGAUGCACGUGGAAGUGUUACAACCUUGGCAAAGCAGAACGCUGCAGUCAUCCAACCCAAUCCAAGCUCUAGCCAUCGUCGCCACGCCAUUUUUCAUUCUGCGAUCGUUUUAAGGGCAGCGGAGCAGCGUUUGUCACCUUCCGUGCCUGCCGAAGUCUCCUACUCAGCUACCAAGGUGCCAGGAUGCCUAGACUGCGGGAGAAGCCGCACGCGCGAAAAAGAGCGUCGCUGGAAACAAAGACGAUAUUCGAGGACUUCGGAUCUCGCACCGGCAGCCAGCAGUCAACAGCUCGAGAAUUCGCAAGUCUAGAACUGUGCAGUGGCGCGUAUACCCCGCACGCAUGCAUUAACAUGUGCGGUCGGGCUGUCCCUGCAAACAUUUGUACGCCUUGUGAUGCUGGUCGCUGCACCGAGGCGACAUCGGAAGUUCAGGACGGUGGUUGUGACACUACGCGCACUAAGGACAAUGUGCCUUGCUUCCCUGAUGGAUAUACUCUACGUGACGCUUCGGAUGGUUCACUUCGCUGUGAGAACGGAACAGGAUCCCUUAGGAGAGGUGUACGCACAAGUCAAUGCGGGUUUUCUGGUAAGCAGGACCCCGGAGUCUACAUUUGCUUUAGCUACCGCGGACUCUUCAUCGGCGCCCUUUGAUUCUCCUGGCUAAUGCGUUCAUGAUCAGAGCUGUAGCCGUAAGUAGCGGCAAGAUCGCCUGCUGAUCUCUACGAAAAUAAAAAGCUCCUUUUAAAAAAGUGAAGAAUAUAUUAGUUGUUUUUUUCUACAAGUUUGUUUAAUAUCGUGAGAAUAUGGUCACUACGGCCACGGCGGGGACAUUGUAAACGAGAGUACGCAUUCGAUGGCCAAGUGAGUUUUAAUAAUUGUAAGAACGCACUACGCCACGAGAAAGAGCUAUUGUUUAAAGAAAAUGAAGAAUAUAUUGAUUGUUCUUCACUAAUAGUUCGUUUAGCCACGUCAGAAUGUGGAGACAUUGGGAACGAGAGUACGCAUUUGACGGCAAGUUGACUUACGAGAACGCACUACGUCGCGAAUAACAUUUAAGCUGCAAUACCAUUAAGCAUGUCCGUGUGGCACUCCGCGAAUGACAUUAAAGUUUAAGGCAUUAGCCAGUUAAUGUCAUUUUUUGUGCCCGUGUCGCAGAGUGCUAGUGAAGUGAUGUAGUCAAGAUUAAUUCCUUCAUGUCAUUUCUGUUGCUUUCGCUGCUUAAUAAUGCUAAUUGAUGUAUUUUUGCUCUUUCUUUUUAUUCCAUGCUGCAAAGUCAAAUGUCAAAGCAGGGUGGGCAAUAAGUAUUUUUGUUCUGCUGUUCUCUACCUUGUGUUGUGCUAUUGAAAUUGCAAGUUUUCUUCUUUAUCCGUGUAUUUAUUUGUUCUUUGAACAGUACGCAUAUAUCUGCUUAUUGGUCUUUGUAUGUAUAUGUAUAAGGUGACAAUAAAUGUUUAAUUGUAUUUGGAA